rnacentral:rRNA from 1 species
UGCGUAGGCGGACAUGUAAGUGUUUUGUGAAAUCCCUCGGCUUAACCGAGGAAUUGCUUGGCAAACUACAUGUCUUGAGGCAAGUAGGGGUGUGUGGAACUCUUGGUGGAGCGGUGGAAUGCGUAGAUAUCAAGAGGAACGCCGAAGGUGAAGACAACACACUGGACUUGUACUGACGCUGAGGCAUGAAAGCGUGGGGAGCAAACAGGAUUAGAUACCCUGGUAGUCC